AUAAAAAAAAAUUAAAAUGUUAAUAUUAAUAAAAAUAAUUUUAUAAUUAUAUUUAAUGGGGGUUAAAUUAUAAUUUAUAGAAAAAAUUUUUAUUUUUAUAGUGAAUUAGUAUUGUGAAAGAAAUUUGAAAUAUUUGAAAAAUUUAUAUAAUAAAAGUAAUUUUAAAUUAAUGUAUCUUGUGUAUCAGAGUUUAUUAAUUAAAUAAUUAAGAUUAAUUAUUCUCGAAUUUAAAAGAGUUAAUUAUUUAUAAAAUUUAUUGUGGUAUAAAUAUUUUUAAUAAAUAAUUUGAAAUGAAAUGUUAUUCGUUUUUAAAUAUAUCUAGUUUUUUUAGAAAUAAAUUAAAUUUAAAAUUUAAUUAAUUAAAAAAUUAAUUAAUUUAAUUUUUUAAAAUUAAAUUAAAAUAAUUUGAGGGAUAAGCUUUAAAUUAAAUUUUUAUAAUAAUAAUAAAUUAUAUUAAAAUUUUUAAAAAUUAAAUUUUUUAAAAAUUUUAGUUUUUUAUAAAUAAUUUUAUUAAAAAUAAAAUUUUAUUAAUUAUUUAAAUUUUUAUAAAAAAAAAUUUUUUAAUGGGGGAAAAAUUUAUAUAAUGAUAAAAUUAGUAUAUAAAAUGUUUAUAUUUGAAAAAAAAAAAAAUUUUUUUAAAGGAAUUCGACAAAAAUUUAUUUUUACCUGUUUAUCAAAAACAUGUCUUUUAGAAAAUAAUUUAAAGUCUAAUCUGCCCACUGAUAAAUUAUUAAAGGGCUGCAGUAUUUUGACUGUACAAAGGUAGCAUAAUCAAUAGUCUUUUAAUUGAAGACUUGUAUGAAAGAUUGGAUAAAAAAUAUAUUGUCUCUAAAAAAUAAUUAAAAUUUAAUUUUUUAGUUAAAAAGCUAAAAUUUUUUUAAAAGACGAGAAGACCCUAUAGAGUUUAAUAAAAAAUAAUAUUAAAAUUAUAUUUAUAACUUAAAUUAAAAUUUUAUUUAUAUUUUAUUGGGGUGAUAAAAAAAUUUAUAUAACUUUUUUUAUAUAAAUCAUAAAUAAAUGAAUAUAUGAUCCAAAAUUUUUGAUUAUAAGAUUAAAUUACCUUAGGGAUAACAGCGUAAUUUUUUUUUUUAGUUCUUAUAAAAAAAAAAGUUUGCGACCUCGAUGUUGGAUUAAGAUAAAAUUUAAAUGCAGAAGUUUAAAAUUUUGAUCUGUUCGAUCAUUAAAAUCUUACAUGAUCUGAGUUCAAACCGGUGUAAGCCAGGUUGGUUUCUAUCUUUAAUAAAUUAUAAUAUUUUAGUACGAAAGGAUUGAAUAUUAAAAAUAAUUUUUUUUUAUUGAAUUUUAUUAAUAUUUAU
rnacentral:rRNA from 1 species